rnacentral:tRNA from 3 species
AGGAGUAUAGUUCAAUGGUAGAGCAACGGUCUCCAAAACCGUCGAUCUGGGUUCGAAUCCUAGUACUCCUGCCA